CUUUACUCAGAGCCGGGGCCCUGUGUGAGGAAGGCGAAGGGGAGGAGUAACGCUAUUCCCCAAAGUCAGCUGCACAAGGAGCGCUCUCGUAACCCCUUCUGCAGGGCAGGGAAUACCUGGGCCGAGGCGCACGUUACGUAAGCGCACGGCGUACGCAAGGUGCGUAACUCAGGCUGGCGUAGAGCCCGGUGUGCACGGCGUAACAUUCUUACGCGGACUAUGCAGACCGGGCGGGAGGGUUACGCUGGAUUCGCAGACGGUUUGAAGAAUACGGCCCGUCUCCUACUCGCCCAUGGGCUCCGCCGAGGUGGCGGCGCGGCUGAGGACACGGUGAUGGGACAAUGGCGGAACAAUAACGGGACGCUGGGCCACGGGGCAGGAGCGGCCCUUUGGACCUCUGUGGCGGCUCCGGCGGGCCGAGGUUAUUCCCUGUCAGAUUAGCGGGGGCAGGAGCAGAGUGACAGCGGCCAUGAUGUUUGCUGUCGCCUGAGCGCCAGCAGGCCGGGAGAGAACUCCCCACGAGCCAGCGACUCCUCGCUGAAAGGCAGAAUCAUCCACGAAGCGAUUACGUGGCACAGACCAUAAAUCCUUUUGUGCCGUGUAUGUGCUAUCGCCCGGUCAGUGUGUCCUGGCACAAGGAGCAGUGUCCCGUGGAUGGUGGGGUUAGACCAGCCAAACACAGCCCUGGCCCACACCGUGUUAUCGCUAUCAGCAGUAAUUUCUGGGCUGUCAGGUUAUCAAACACUGGUUUUACUGGCAGAAAGGAAAGCGAGUCGCCUUUACUUUCAGACCCUUGGAUAAAAAUAACAGCCUAGAACAACAUGCAAAUUACCAUUUUAGCUUCACAUGCUAUAUAUAUAUACACACACACAUAUAUAUAUAUGUAUGUAUGUAUCACAUGUGUGAGAAAACAAAAAGCAAUCCGAGUGCUUAAAAUAAAAUGGAAGAAUGUUUCUGUAAGAAAACUGGGUCUUUCAAGUGGGUGGCAGGGAGUCAAGUGACACUGCACACUCUCGCUGGCACUGGGUACUUGGCCACUGGAUACAAAUGCCUAGUGUGGGAAAGCCUGGCACGUGCAAAGGACUGGACAUUGCAUUAAAUGACAACGGCUGAUCCAUUCCUGGCUCUCUCAGGUGAACCGGCUUCCCAGCCUUCAGCUCUCUAGUCUUUUCUGCACUGUGAAAAAUAGUGCUUUCCUUCAGGAAAAAUAUCAACUAUCUGUUAAGAAACCACUUAAAGAAGGCAAGCCCUCUAGAUCUGUCACAAGGAAAAGCCUGGCUAAAAUGUCAAGCUUCUCUUCCAUGAAUUUCUGGUCAUUGCUGCCUUUUUAUUUGAUGUUAUCUUACAUGCAUUUGGUAACCUAAACAAAAAAAUUAUUUUUCCAGUGAGGACGAGUACUUCGACCAGAUACCAAAAUUAGACUCAUUGUAAUUACCAGAGGACCAAUUUGCUCUUUUUGGUAACUGACAGAGGUGUAAAGUGAGGAAAGAUCCCUGGGCUAGAGCCUGAUUGAUAAUACACCUGGACUACUAAAUGGUUGUGCUACCAACAGCUACUGAUAGUGACUCCAGUCCAUGUUUUCCAAAUCUUGCCAUGUUUCCCAUACCUUCUGAUAUUUUUUGGAGCCUUGACAACAUCUGAGCCAGUUUCUGUUGUCGUUCGGCCAACUCUCCGCGACCACUGAAAUCCACACGGAAAAGUGCCAUUAUGGAGUCAAUGAUCUGCAUUGUAAUCAUGCUGGAUGGUGCGUUUCAUUGGUUUAUCUAAGACAGCCUAUUAACUUCCCUCUCCUUAUGGCAAAACUUUCAUGGAUGUGAAUAAUAUUAAAAAGUAACAAUUUGUAUGAAUUCUCUACUCAAACACGGUUUAUGGAGAACUCUGACAAUUAUGGAGUGACAAAUCACGCCCUCGCAUAAUUACAGCAAAACAUUAAUUAAAAAAUACUUUGGGAGAUUUGAAAAAUGCUCUAGCUUCAAAUACUGAAGGAAGAAAAACAAGUAGUGCAAGAGGCAUUAAAACUAUAUUACAAUCUCCUUCUUCAUUAGAAACAUCCUAACAAAAUGCAUAUAAUUCUGCCCCUCAGUCACCACUGAGCAGGUUAUGGGAUUGCUCUCUUACUCCCCAUCCUUAGGCAUUUGGCAUCGCACAGCAGAAAAACGAGGCAGACCCAGACCUGCGCCUUCCUGCAGGCUAUUAGGGAAAAUGGAGAAAUUAUACCUCACACUAUUAAAGGCUUUAGGUACGAAAAAAAUCCUCCUGCUUAGUGUUGUCCUGCUGCUGGUGUGUGUUGGCACACCUGAAGGAUUCCAGUCACCACUGCCUGCAGUGAAGCAGAUAAAAGGGUGAAAGUCUGAGACAACAGAUCAAAUCUAUGAAAAACCACCAACAAUCUUGUGCCAUCUCAAGUGCCCAAGGGCAGGUGAGCAAGACCUGGAUACCGCGCUGUCCUUCCAGCCUGCGGGUGUGACAGGGACUCCGUAAUUCUCCCUGGCCUUGGGCUGGCAGAAAAUGGCAGCAGAGCUCGGCUCCCCGGGCCGGGGCCGAUCCGACCUGCCCCAAGGAACCUCACGGCUCGACCUUACAUCUGUUGCCUCAGAGGAAAAUAACUGAUUAAUCGUCAACAACACACAGAUUUAUUGGGCUUUUCUUUGCCAGCUGCCUCCUCAUGAGAUGUACAUUUCUGUUCCCAAAGGGCGAGGAAACGCUGAAUCUCCCUCCCCCCGCAAAGCACCGUAAUUCCCCAUCAAAAUUAGAACAGUAAUUAAAUUCCCAGCUCAUGCCCGGGCAGCUCCCGGGGAGAAGGAGGGUGCAGUACCCGGGGCGGAGGCUCCGAGCCUGCCACGGCCGCCCGCCUCGCUCCUCCUGAGGGCACGGCCCAGCCGCCUUCCCGCCGGCGGCGCGGGGCGGGGCCCUGGGGCGCCAUGAGGGGGGCGCGGGCCUUUCCCUCACCCGCCCCGCGCUGAAAGACGCCUCAGUGUCCGUCUUCAGUCGUGGUUUGUCGCCUACUGUAAUCGCUAUCUACCCGGAAUAUCUGUCGCAUUGCCCUCACUCCACAGCUGGGAAAGGCAGCGUUAGUUAACACCGCGUUGGUUUGGAAAGCAUUUAGUUCAACGCAGCUCUGCCUUUUGUUUUUGCAAGGUGCCGCUCACGCAUCUUCCUCAACAAGGCACACACGGCGGUUUUGGAUUGGAUGGCCAAAAUCUGUCAGGGAGCUGGAAGAGAAGUGACUUGACUGGAGUCACAGGACAAGAAAAUGAGCCUGAGUCAUACACAUGACUUAAUCUGCCAUUUUAAAAGGAUGGAAAAGGUGCUUUUUAGGAUAUGAGCACUUGUGUGAGACAUCUGCAGGCUUCUUGGAGGCAGUAUUUGGAAAGCAAUCGCCCGUUUUAGCUCGCCUCUGGUGGUACAGUUGGUACGGGACUGCAUGUCAAGGAGACAUCGCAUCUCCUGCGAGCAGCAGGAGUUCCUGGCUGCCCCUUGUGUGGGCUUGGAAUGGCAGAAGGGAUUGGAGCAGCAUCUCAGCCUGUUCCAAGGGGCUUGUGAAAACUUCCCCACCCUCUGCCUGUGGGAGGUUAAGGGCACCUUUUCCAAGCCACUUCUUAGCCAAGUUAGGAAACCAAGCAACGAAACCCAGGGCCCAGUGCCAUCAUCAUCAGCACACCACGGGAGUGCUCGCAGGGUCUCCAUUUGAAACAUCGAGCAAUUUCUAUAAGUACCAAAAUGUCCAAUCCUAGAAGCCCAAGGCUUUGUCUGUACAGAGGAAGCGGCUGGCACAGCUUUUGAAAACCACAUUAUUCCACAAGAGCUAUUCCAGAAGAGCACUUAGGCAGACAGCCCUUUAAAGGUGAAUUCCUUCACAAAGUACGUUUUUAUUCCAGAACAGAAUGAAGAGGGUGACCCUUCUGGUGCUGCUGAGCGGCUCUGCAGCAGAAAAUACCUCACUCUGUAAACAGCCUUCCCGUCAUUAUCCUUUUAGUUUGUAAAAUGGUUCUCAGAAAGGUCAAUGAAUGCACAGAAUCUUAAGACCAUUUCCCAUUCCAAAGAGCUACUUUGGGCAAUAAAUUACAUUCUACACCUUCAAA